rnacentral:rRNA from 1 species
UACGGAGGGUGCAAGCGUUGUCCGGAUUUAUUGGGUUUAAAGGGUGCGUAGGUGGCUUGUUAAGUCCGGGGUGAAAGCCCACAGCUCAACUGUGGAACUGCCCUGGAUACUGGCAGGCUUGAGAGUCGUCGAGGGUGGCGGAAUGGACGGUGUAGCGGUGAAAUGCAUAGAUACCGUCCAGAACCCCAAUUGCGUAGGCAGCUGCCUAGGCGACAUCUGACACUGAGGCACGAAAGCGUGGGGAGCGAACAGG